rfam:Rattus norvegicus chromosome 14, whole genome shotgun sequence.
GGGGAUUUAGCUCAGUGGUAGAGUACUUGCCUAGCAAGUGCAAGGCCCUGGGUUAAGUCCCCA